GGCUGUGCAAGGAUUCAAGAUUAAUUCCUCACUUGAGAUCUUCCUGCUGUCUGGCUGGGUUUCCUAACAGAUGUGUAACAGCCCUGUUGCUUCAUUUGAAAGAUGACUUUGAAUAAAUGCAAGCUCGGUGUUACUUUCUCAUGCCAAGCAAGAUGAUGACUUCCAGAGAAAAAGGAGAAACCCUACUGUUGUUUGCCUGCCUCAAGAUUUUAUGAAAUAUAUCAAUUUGCCGGAAAACCAGACAACGCAUGGCUGAAGCAGAGAGAAGCAUGAAGUUGUAAAUGAUCCCAGCUCGCUAUAAUGGG